GUUGACGGCAGUCGCUCGCUAUCGUUCGGGUUCUCUACACGGUCUCUUGUGCGCUCGUCGGCUCGGCUCUUCCGCGCGGCUAACGGGGGUGGCCGCUUCAGUGUGUCUGCUUUGCAACAUUUGAAAUAGUUUUCUUUUGGAGAUUUUUCUGGGCUCCCGUCCGUGGAAGAUCAAACAACCUACGUUAGUGAUAUAAAAAGAAAAACAGCACCGAGUGGAGUGAGUUGGCACCGUAUGUGAGUGGAAAAUAAGCAAGGUGGACAGAAAAGCACCGCAUACACAGUUCAUAUCAACAAAGUAGAAACGCACGUAUCUAGGAAGGUUCAUAUCAUUCUACAAACAAAGAGAACGGAUAAAAUCAACUCCAAAAAACUUCUAGUUAGCGAGAGAAAGAGCUGGUGUAAUAGCAACGAGAGCAAACUAGGAAAAGAAAUAAGAAAACAAAUCAAAACAUAUAGCAGCCAAAAAGCGUGUGUGCAGUGUGUCGAAAUUAAAUAAGUGGUGUGGUGUGACCAGAAACAAAUAGGCCGACAGUUAUCAUCGGAUGUCAACUUAGUUCCCGUGAUUGGAAACCGAAUAAAUCAACAAACGAGAAAUUCAUACGGAGCUCGCUUAACUUUACAAGCAGAGUUUCAACGGAUGGCAACUAACGACAGCAAUUAAAAGGUAA